AAUCGAUGAUUGUUUGCAAUUUAAACAUUUACUUAACGCAAUUAUAUUAGGAAUAUAAUCUAAUGACCUUUAUUUCAACAGUUAUUUCUAGAUCGAAGAUCAUCGCCAGUCGUUUAACGAAUUUAUAAUUUAAGUUUUUAAUUACGAAAUUUUAUAAGACAGAUAGAAAGAACAAAGAGAAAGAUGCGAAGCGUCAGAAGUUUAUAGAGAAAACGAUAAGAUAAAGAACAAGUCGAGCCACUCUGUUUACAAAGUCGGAGGUGUACUAGAACGUAGAGUAGGAUGGAAAAGGGAUCGAUAGCACGAAGAACACGUGCCGUAUGACCCUCAGCAUCAGAAGUGACUAUAUUGCAGAAUUAUGUGGCUCUACCUAGGCGUGGUUAUAAAAGGGAGUUGGAAGCCUGACGUUCAUUCGUAAUUCAAACUGUUACCGCGUGACCGACCAUGCGACUUCUAAUGGCACCACUGACGCAGAAUCGAUCUUUGACGGUUUUAAUAACGUUAGGAAACUCGAUCUUUGGAAUUCUACCAAAAAUGACCAAAUGACUUCGAAAUUGAAUAACCCUUUAGAUUAUAUUUCCUUAAUUUUAUUAACAUUAUAGUUGAUUUCAUUUAUUUUUCCCCAGAAAUGAUUGUUGGAAAACCUAACCUAAAUAUUAUCACAAAAAUAUCAAACGUUUAUAAUUUAUAAUUUUAAACAAACGAAUUGUAGUGGUAGCUAAUGCUUUCGCAUAACUUGUUUGUUUUAGAAAUAAACUUAAAUGUACAUUUAAUUCGAAGUAAAAAUAUUCCGGCAGAAGAGGACUUAUUGUAUUCGAACAACGAACUGACUCCAACUGGACCGAACUGGAACUACGCAGUAUCAUUUUUUGUUUGGACUGGAAAUACCGAGUUCCAUGUGGAACGCUCACAGGAACUCAUGCGAGAGGAGUCGGAAGAUCUUCGAACGUCUCUUUAUGCAAAAAUAUAAAGAAGACGAUGGAGGACGCAGGAAUUGGGACGCUCCGUGAUCUAGGACGCAAUUUGGCAAGUUGGACUUGCACAUACUCGCGAGAUGAAGCACAAACGUAAGAUAGCCAAUGCACAUAAACACGUUCUACUAUCCUGAAAAUGUCCAUUCUAUUCUAACCAUUAUAAAGUUGAAACCACUGAACUCGUUCAAAGAAAAGAUAAGCAUAUGGUUCGUGCAAUCAAAGAGUUAAAGCAGUGAUUUUAGUUUCAAGUUUCAAAAAUGAGUUAUUCAUCUUAUUUAUUAUAUUUUAUUCAACUUAUAUAUUAUUAUUUUUCAUUUCAGAUUCUAAAUAAGAAUGAAGUUAGCAGGCUGAAUGAAUGACCAAAUUUUUCACAUAGUGACCAAACAUAUUUAUCACGAACUCAAUUCGCACAUGAUGUUUCUAAGUCCAUCCAAUUUCGUCACAUUAUUAAUUCACUCGCACGUUAACCAACAAGCUUAGAAGAUAAAUGAAUUUCAAAUAUGGGUCGCUUAAAAGACGGUCGUUGCAUCUCCUGAUAAACUCAUCAGCCUGAUGUAAGAGAGUAGAGCUAGAGAGUUUUUCCAAUAGGAAUACAUUACAAUUUUUCUGCUCUAAUAAGCCCAGCAGAUAAGUGAAACUACUGAGGAAUUGAACAACUUCAUACAUGUUUUAUAAUUCUUGGAAAAAGUACGUAUACACGAAUAUACAAAAGCGCGUAAUAUACAAAUUGUUUGGUUUUAGUGAUAUAAUCAGUAUUUAUAUAAAUUAAUCACUGACGUACAAAAAUGCAAAAGAGAAAAACAAUUUUUAUAAAAUGUUUACAAGAGAUUAUUCUGAAUGACUAAAUCAAACAUUAUUCAGAUUAAAAGGUUUGACCUAUAAAAUGAACAAUAUCGAUGAGUAACGCAUUGUCCCUAAGCAUUGGAAAGAAGUUAUCAAUCUAUAUUGACUUAGAAUUAACAGAAAGUUAGUCAUUUAACAAGACCAACAAAUAUCUCUAAACUCAAACUAAAGAUUAUGUUCUCAGGCAAACUUAUGCUUCAUUUAUCACGCAAACCAAUUCCGUACAAGAGUUACUUAAAUGAUUUUUCCUCUAGCAUAACCUUCUGUCUUGUCCUCGAGUUUCGAUAUUAUCUCGAGCUAAACGAGACAUGUAGCGCUUGAAAUCCGAUAUCGGAAAAGCCAGUAGCUAAACAAACAUAAACGUUCAGAAGAUACCAAUAUUUGUAAAGGUGAACAAGAUUUGUAGUUUAUAGUAGAAGAUAAAAAUGCUUUUUUCAACAAAGUUGUCAAUUUAAUCUUCUCUAAAUGACUUGCACCAGAUAGACGUGAAAAACAUAAUGAAACUUCCCAACCUAUACAAGACGCCUCUUUUAUCGCUUUAUAACUUCAACGAAUAAGAAAAACUUUGAUAAAAAAAAAGCUUUUUUAAAGUCUCUGGUUACUCUUUUACAAAGACCGUAAUUUUCAUACUUUAUUCGACUAAUUCAAUGACGUAACAAAAUUCAGGUUGCCUCCUGAAAUAGUAUCUAACUUGAUCGCGUGCAAUUCAGAUGGGAAUACACCUUCCGACCUAAUAUAUACAAAGAAAAUGAGCGGGUAAUUAAGUUUGAAAUGCGAUGAAGUAUCCUCAAAUUGCCUUUUUGUUUAAUUUGUCCCAUUUUGUGUUUAAAUAGAGCAAACACGGGCCAAUCUACGUGUGUUUACGUAUGUUUACGUCAACCAGUCAAUAAGAGAUCCUGCUUCUCUUACGUCAUCCUCAGGGAGGGAUAGUAGGUACGUAGCCACAAGAUACGCGUUUGCCAACGAUACGCAUACGAUGAUUUACGGUACCAAUCUGUAUCUGAAAAAGACAUACGAAGGAAGAACGUUGGAAUUGUAAACAUGGUUAAGUGCCAAAUAUAUUCGAUCUUCGAAGAUGGAGCAAAUUCAUUGAUUGGAUGACAAGUACAGAACAAGAGAAAUUCUUCCGCCAUUUUUUUUCGUGUUCGAGUUUCCAUAGUAACCACAUCAGAUGAGCCCAUUAAUAAUUUUCUUGGAAAAUCACUAGGGUUAUCCCUACCUAUGUUGGAACAAACCUAACACAUUCAUAAUAACAAAACAAUUUAAUCCUACAAGUUAAAAUUCGAAGAGGAUGAGUUUUUUGAGUUAUUUGAAAAGGUUAGUUAAACCAAAAUAAAGUAGGUUACACAGUGCUUCAUCUCGAUUCGAGCAAUUAUUUCGGGCCAGGUGUUUUCAUGGAUUUCUGUAACAACUUCGUACAACACUGUUUUGCAUCGUGAUGUUAAAUAAUAUCAAAUGAUCCAACUACGUGCUCCCUACGUGUACAUUAAAAUGCAUUCUUUUUGCCACCUAAUUACAGUCCAAAAAUUACACAUAAUUACACACCAUUGGAAUUCGUAAGGAUGUCUGUUGCGAACAAAUUUCGCCUUACACGAAUAAUAUUGUAUAGAAAGUCAACAUGCAUGAGAAUUCUAUGAUGAUUCAACAUAACUCAAAAGAAAUGUUAUUUGAAUUAUCGGUUAAUAAUUUGAUAGUAAUAUAAUGUAACUCCCCAGAACGAUUACGGGUAUUUUAAAUUAAUUGAAUAAACCUACCUAAUUCUCGACAGAAGUAAGCUGUAAAGCAGCAAUGAGUACGCGAGGUCACACGACCUACCAUUUCGAUGACGAAUCGGUAAAAUUAUAAAUAAGCUACAACACUGUAUACGAGUCCGUGUACAUCAUAGUGGUAUUUGCCAGCAGCUGUAACAAAGGUCGGGCAUCGGCUAAGCAUUAUGAUUCACCAUAACGACUCGUUACACUUCACACUAUCAUUAAGAAAUAAUAUAUUCUUAAGUCGUCGAUAAUUAGAUUAUUAGCUUAUCGUUCCACGAACGGAUGAUACAUUAAUAACAAUUCAUAACUUUUCCUUUUCAGCCGAAACUGAUGAAGAAUAAAACGUCAAUAGGAUUGUAAUUAUUUGAAAAGACAAUCUUUUAAAAUCAUACAAGUCAAAUGGAAAAACAAAAAAACAAUUUAUUCAACAUUCUUAGAAUAAAGAUUAGUAAUAAGCCUGAUGAAAUCAAUAAGUUCAGAUAAAACUUUUAAUGAAUUCUUUUAAUCAAUCGCCAUGGAUUAUCUAUAUACAGGUAGUGACUAGCAUUUGAGAUCAGUUCUAACCUAGACCUAACCCAGACCUAGAAUACAGAAAGACAAAAGUUUUCAGUCAGUUCGAUCGAGUAACAGUUAUGUAAUAAACUAAAGAUACUCUAAUGAAUUUAUUUUGGUGAUGCAUAAAGCGAUCCUUGAUGUGGGAAUAUAUGGCGGAACAAGUAAACCAAAAACGUCGCCCUAGUUAGUUAAACGAGGGUCGCUAGUCACUCUAGUUGCCUGGUAGCACUGCCUGCUUACUUAUCGAUAGAAUAACACGUAAGAAAGCGAUCGAUUGAAGCGCACGAAAUUGUUUGUGCCUUCGCGUUCUACGGACAGGGUAUAGAAUAGUGAACUCGGCAAAAAACGUUUACAUUCGGAAUCGAUCGGCGCACUCAUGCCCACUACCAUGAAUAAUGGACAGAUAUCGAGAUAUUUUCUUUAAUCCUUUUGAUGAAAAAUUAGAAACACUUUUUAAGUCAUUUAUAAACUGUGAAUAUUUAUGUAAAUUUAGAUUUUUAUCAAAAUGAUUAAAAAAAUGAAACCUAAAUAGGAAUUUCUCUCACCUAGUAAAUCUGAGAACACUUUUGGAUAUUUUAAACUUUUUCAUAUUACGUGCAUUCUGCAAAUUUUGUACUUUUUCUUUUCUUAGUUUUCUAUAAAUGUACGAACAUCCACAAACUCAUAUAUUUUUAUAACUUAUAUAAAAUACUAUUUAGAAUCGAUGUUGUUACUUCUUAAAUUUUAUUUAUCAUACGAAUGAUAUAUAACAUGUUCGACUAUAUAAAAUACAAGCAACCAAGUCAAUAUCUGUAUUAUGUGUUCUUUUUCAUUUAAAGCAGUAGAUAUUGAUCUCGCGAUAAAGAAAAUUUUGUGAAUAAAGAGAAUCGAUUCUGGUAUAAGAUAAAUUUGAAUUUCAUAUAAAUUCUUUUUCUCUUUUUUCUAGCAAUAAAAUGAUUCACGGACCACAGAAAAUUAUUUUAGAAAUAUGUUCGAUGGAGUUUGAAGUUUGCAUGCCGUUGUUACCGUUGCAUUAUCCUAUGGUACAUCUUAAAGGGUCAAAAAUAGACAGGCGCUCCCAGGGUUAGACGUAAGCAUUCUUCUCGUCUGGUUUGCAAGCAAUGGCAAAACAGAGCGGAUGAAAACAUUCACCGUGCUAUAGAAUGGAGGUUAAGUUUACAUUUCAAUAAACAAGACACGCGGACUAAGAAUAUAAACGGCCAAUCUAUGAUAAUCUGAAUAUCAAUUUUACAAAAUUGCAAAUAUAACCAUGUAAGAAUUCGAACUUACAUCAAAACGAAAACGUUCGACUUGCCCAUCCCAUAACACGACGCAGACAAAAUGGAAAUUAUAUUCGUAGACUCUGGUCUAAAUAUAAGUAUUCUGACGAACGCUUGAAAACUUUUCACGCGACACAUUUUCACAGCUCUGUGAACGUUUUCUUCCAGUUUAAUAAAUGAAUAUUUCAUAGAAAAAACCUGAUAACCAUCUUUUUAUCUUCUGCAUUCCAUAUCACUUGGUAGGAACAUUCUAAUAUGACCUUGAAAGGAACAAGAUAUAUAAAUUCAUCAAGUUUUAUAAAAAAAAAAAAGAAAAAAAAGAAGAAA